GAGUUUGAUCCUGGCUCAGGACGAACGCUGGCGGCGUGCCUAACACAUGCAAGUCGAGCGGAGAAUGCAGGCAAUGUAUUCUUAGCGGCGGACGGGUGAGUAACGCGUGGGUAACCUGCCUUUAACAGGGGGAUAACACAGGGAAACUUGUGCUAAUACGGCAUAACAUCACUAUGUGGCAUCACAUGGUGAUCAAAGGAGCAAUCCGGUUUUAGAUGGACCCGCGUCCGAUUAGCUAGUUGGUGGUGUAACGGACCACCAAGGCGACGAUCGGUAGCCGAACUGAGAGGUUGAUCGGCACAUUGGGACUGAGACACGGCCCAGACUCCUACGGGAGGCAGCAGUGGGGAAUAUUGCGCAAUGGGGGAAACCCUGACGCAGCAACGCCGCGUGAAGGAUGAAGGUUUUCGGAUCGUAAACUUCUUUGAUGAGGGACGAAUAAAUGACGGUACCUCAAAAACAA
rnacentral:rRNA from 1 species